AUAGUUUGAUCCGGUCUCACAUUGAACGCCGGCGGCAUGCCUAACACAUGCAAGUCUAACGGCAACGAUGGAAGCUUGUUUCCACCCGUCGAGUGGCGGACGGCUGACUAAUACUUAGGAAUCUGCCCAAUAGUGGGGGACAACUCUCCGAAACGCUGCCUCCUACCGCAUACUACCUACGGGUGAAAGUGGAGGAUCUUCGGACUUCCCGCUAUUGCAUGAACCUAUCUCAGAUUUGCUUGGUGGUGGGGUCAAGGCCUACCAAAGCUACCAUCCGUAACUGGUUCGACAAGACGAUCUUCCCCCCUGGGACUGAGACAGGGCCCAGACUCCUUUCGGAGGCAUAUUCGGGGAAUAUUGGACAAUGGGGGCAACCCUGAUCCCGUCUGCCGCUUGUGUGAAAAAGGGCUGUCGAUUUGCAUGUGUUUUGCCUGCAGAAAACGUUCUUUCUGUUAAUACCCGUGACUCUUGAGGUUAAUUCCGGAAGAAAUCUCCGGCUCUGUCCGUGCGCUCAAGCCUGCAUAAUA
rnacentral:rRNA from 1 species